ACUAAGCUGCAGCACCGAGGUCUUUAGUGCAGCUACCAAAGUGGCAGAAAUAGCUGAAGUCUGACAGCUUGAUGGCGAGGAAAGACGGACGUGAUUAGACCUGAUUUAGCCAAAAAAAAAACCCAAACACACAGCCUGUCGCAGCGCUUGUUAGCAUACGUCUGGAGGAACCCCAGUGACGAAUGACAGAAUGGUCUGACCAGAGCUGCUGCUGUUGGUGAAAUCAUUCAGUGCCACAAAGGAGUUGGGAGAAAUCUGGAGAACCCAAUGGCACAGAGAAUACACCAAACUCGGGAACCCUGAAGCUGGGAGGCAGUGACUCUACACUGCAGGUUGGUGACUCUGGGGCCACAGGUGUGGGAGUGAGGCCUGGGCCAGCAUUCUGGCAAUGUGGUGAACACAGGCAUUUCCAAAGACCAUUGACAUGUUACUGAGGUGAAGGCAUUGUUCCGGAGCCUUGAUUCAUCACACGCUGCUCCCAAUCAAGCUGGGACUUACCAUAUUCUGGUAAAUAUUCAUGGAAGCACAUAAUAUGCAUUAUUGGUGGUUUCAAGCUGUAACCAAACUCAAUUCCCCUGGUGGAAUUAAUAUCCCCUGGUGGCCAUUAUGAUUCA